rnacentral:rRNA from 1 species
UACGUAGGGUGCAAGCGUUGCCCGGAUUUAUUGGGCGUAAAGGGCGCGUAGGCGGCUCGGCACGUCGGGUGUGAAACCCCCAGGCUCAACCUGGGGACGCCACCCGAUACUGCUGUGACUUGAGUCCGGUAGGGGAGCGUGGAAUUCCUGGUGUAGCGGUGAAAUGCGCAGAUAUCAGGAGGAACACCAGCGGCGAAGGCGGCGCUCUGGGCCGGAACUGACGCUGAGGAGCGAAAGCGUGGGUAGCAAACAGG